rnacentral:rRNA from 1 species
UUAAAUUGAAGAGUUUGAUCAUGGCUCAGAUUGAACGCUGGCGGCAGGCCUAACACAUGCAAGUCGAACGGUAACAGGAAGCAGCUUGCUGUUUCGCUGACGAGUGGCGGACGGGUGAGUAAUGUCUGGGAAACUGCCUGAUGGAGGGGGAUAACUACUGGAAACGGUAGCUAAUACCGCAUAACGUCGCAAGACCAAAGAGGGGGACCUUCGGGCCUCUUGCCAU